rnacentral:rRNA from 1 species
GGCCUAACACAUGCAAGUCGAGCGCUACCUUCGGGUGGAGCGGCGGACGGGUUAGUAACGCGUGGGAACAUACCCUUCUCUAAGGAAUAGCCACUGGAAACGGUGAGUAAUACCUUAUACGCCCUUCGGGGGAAAGAUUUAUCGGAGAAGGAUUGGCCCGCGUUAGAUUAGAUAGUUGGUGGGGUAAUGGCCUACCAAGUCUACGAUCUAUAGCUGGUUUUAGAGGAUGAUCAGCAACACUGGGACUGAGACACGGCCCAGACUCCUACGGGAGGCAGCAGUGGGGAAUCUUAGACAAUGGGCGCAAGCCUGAUCUAGCCAUGCCGCGUGAGUGAUGAAGGUCUUAGGAUCGUAAAGCUCUUUCGCCAGGGAUGAUAAUGACAGUACCUGGUAAAGAAACCCCGGCUAACUCCGUGCCAGCAGCCGCGGUAAUACGGAGGGGGUUAGCGUUGUUCGGAAUUACUGGGCGUAAAGCGCACGUAGGCGGAUCAGAAAGUAUGGGGUGAAAUCCCAGGGCUCAACCCUGGAACUGCCUCAUAAACUCCUGGUCUUGAGUUCGAGAGAGGUGAGUGGAAUUCCAAG